GAAAAUCUACAUGGCCUCACUUCUGUAGCUACAGACUCAUGGACAGGCUAGCUUCUUCUAUAAACCAACCAAACGCAUUACCAGAAUGGAAAAAGAAUGUAUAUUUCAUCAAACCAUUAACCAUUUCUCAUCUGUUUAUGUUUAACAGGAAACCACAUAUCAACUCAGCAUGCAAUAAAAUUAACAAGAAAGAAAAAUCUUAAGUAUAUGACUGAAGGUCUCACAAAGAUAAGACUGGUAAAUUUUCCUGCCGGCAGUAAAUCUUUAACACUUUGAACUCCGAUUACAAGACCAAACUGCCCGUCACAGGAAUUCCGUUAUUGCUUUGAUGUAAGCAAGAAAACCAACUAACCCAUCCUAUCUGAACCAACAACAUUUUGUAAGAAAAUAGAAUGAAAUAUGAACCCUUUAUAUGUCCAGUGAACAAAUGAAGAGCAACCAAGCCGAAUUGACCAUCAUCUGAAACUAUCCAGUUUUAUCGAUACUGGAUUUGAAAAAUGGUUUGGUAAAGUUAUAACUCUAUGUAGAUUUGGUAUUUAUCAACUCAAAAUACCUUAUACACCUUCAUUCUCCAUCCUGAGAAUGUGGUCAAAGAUCAGUUAAUGUUUCUGCAACACAUCACUGCACAAUCAAAUUUGGCAAUUUCAACAGAAUCACAAAUAGGAGAGCCAACAACAGAAGAUGUUAUGUGUUUCAACGUCCCUUGAGGCUCUCUCACUGCAGAACAUGACAAUGAACGAUGCCUCAUCAGUGGAUGAGAUGCCAAAAUAAGCUCAAAACUCAACCAUUUCCUCGAAGUCUAAACUUAGGGAGGAACAAAAGUUCAAAAAUCAUCACAUAUGAUUCUAGAGAGAUUCUCUGAGUGUCGGGGUUUAUAUCCCUACAAUGUAUUUUAUGGGGUUUAAUAGAAGUCCUCAAGUGUUCUCAGUCUGCCGUUUGAGCUUGAAAAUCAGCCAGAAUGCUUUUGGGUACUUUGCUUUGCACCACAACUUAUCCUAGUGAACAAAUCUCUGUCCAACUGCCUAGUGAGGCACACCUAUUUUGAGAACUAAAAGAGGUGCACAAACCUGCUUCACUGAUGUGCAUAAAUAUUGGGAACAUAAAUAAGAUAGAAAAUGAGCAAGAUUGGUGUGCUUCUUCUAUCUUCUUUCUUUUUUCCUUUUUUUUUUUGUGUGUGUGGUGGGGCGGGGUGGGCGGAACGAGAGGGUUUGGAUAAAGUUGAACAAGAAUGUCUGCAUAAAGUUUGUGUUGAUCAGUUUCCCACAGCCAACCUAUGAGAGUCUAAUGAUCCAAAAUCAAGGUGUCAAAUCUGAAAUCUAGCAAGUUACUCUGCACUUUAAGCAGUGAUAUGACCAUUUCGGUUCACAUCUUCUUCUCCAACAUUUAACCCCAAAAUGAUAUCUAUUAGAAAAUAAAAAUUUACACACCCCAUAACUGCAAUAGAAGACAUGAAAGGACAAUAUAAUGAGGUUUCAAAGAUAGGAGGUCCAGUCACCCAAGGCAUCCCUUUUUCUUUCUUGUAUUUUCCUUCCUCUUUUUCCCAAGGCAUCCUUUUCUUGUAUCUUCUUUUUUGUGAUCACAGUAAGAGGGACAUGACAUGAAAUUCAUCACAUCUAAAACCAAGAUGAUGGUGACCCCCUUCAUGUAGUUAUCACAGUCUUGGUUGACUUGGACAGAUUGUUACAUCCAACUUAAAUAAAAAGCAGAACUAAGAGACCACAAUAAAUUUCUAAUCCGAAAAGUUGGAGCAUCAAGCAAAAUGGAAAUUUCCUACUACCUCACCCUUCCCC
rnacentral:lncRNA from 1 species